GAUGAUGACAUCAAUGAUGUUGCCUCUAUGGCUGGUGUUAAUCUAAAUGAAGAAAGUGCCCGAAUUAUGGCUACCAACUCUGACUUGGUUGGAACCCAGAUACAGUCAUGUAAAGAUGAACCCUUUCUUGCUGCUAUACCUCUACAUAAACGCAUACUUGAAAUGGGUCCAUGAUUAGACUUCCUAUUUUACAAGAUGUCCCAACAUGUGUUGGGAUGAUAACUUCAGUACCACCUGAGAGCUUGGAGUCUGCCUUUCUGUGAAAGGCAAGCUCCAUGCUCUAGAGGUGGUACUAAUGUCCCGAAACUCAACACAUGUUGGAACAUCUUUGUGGAGGAGGAAGUCAUUGAUCAGUGAGCAGUAUCUUGGAGGAUCAUUUACGGGGAGAAAAGUAAAAGGUAAUAGUUUCUAAAAUAUCACGAUGAUUGUUCAUUAUGUUUAUUUGGCAAUCCUGCUGCUCAUACUAAGGUUGCAAUGUUUUUGUUUCUUAAAAUUACUGAAAUACCUCAUCAUCUUUAGUCUUUCUUUCUCAUAUAAGUUGAAUUUGCGCUUAAAAACUUCAGUGCUCUGCAGGUAAAAAUGUCACUCUCUGUUUUAAUACAUUGCAUUUGUUAGUCAUCUUUAUGCUACUGAAACUACGGCACACAAAGUCCAUGUUGUAGAAUAACACACUGGCAGUUUGACACUUUUUUUCAGUGGUUAAGAUAUCAAGAGUGUUAGGCUGUAGUUUGUCUAGUGUUAAAUAAAGUAAGCCACAGCCAAAUGUUGAAAAGUAUUGAACCAGUACAAAGACAUUUUACUGAUAACAAAAGGUUAUUUUUUUCAAGGAGGUAACUUCAUCGCUGGACGUUGUGCCAGAUGAGGUACCAUCUGUUCCUGCACAAUAAUGUAAAUGUAUGAAUCUGAUAUAAACCAUCAUAAAACACAACUGUUUUGAAAAAAAUUACGUGACCAUAUCUGAUCUGGAAUCACUUUGUAGUGGUGGAUGAUCUGGUAAUACAUAGGUUUAGCAUUAAUUAGUGAAUAUGGCUGAUCUUGACAACUUUUCCUCUAAUCCUGGACGUACACAGACAAUGUUGCUGACACUCUGAAAUUCAGGUUAUGGUUUACUCUUCUGGUAUCUUUUAUAAUUUCCUGUAUUCUUUGUGCACAUGUAUCUUUUCCAGGUGACUUACCCAUCCUGCCUCCUUAAGAUAUGGCUUCAUGUUGAACUAGUCUGCCUAAUAUCAGCAAACAUCUGUGAUAGCUCUUCAGACAUGUAACCUACGAGACAUUUGUAGGGUCAGAGCUAGAGUUUCUUCAGGAAAACUAAAUUGCCAAAGUGUCUACAUUAUUUCCAUAAUCUGCUUCAAAAAAACAGAAGCAUAUAGGCAAAUUCUUUUUCGUGGUAUUUAUUUUAUCUUUUUGUGAACGUGAGUUAGAUUGUUCUGCUAUUGCAAGGACCAUGUCACAGUAUACUGGCAUCUGUGCUUGUCGUUUCUGACAUUCUUAUAACAGUUCUUUCCCAUGUCUUGCUCACCUAACAUAAACCCGUAAUCAUAUUGUUCUUUUACUUAAGCCUGAGGUCUUGUAAUGGUUUAAUAUCUUUUCAUCUUCUGUUUAAGACAUUGAGAUUUUUAUUUCUUCCACAAGGAAUUAGAUAAAAUACAGUUUAGUUACAGAGAAAAUGAGGAAAAAAAUAAUUGUAGUCCACUUCUGUUCCUCAGAGUUUGCAUUAUCUUUCUGUCCGCUCUGAUCAAGCUGUCAGGCUUGCUGUCUGUCUGAAUACCAAAUAUUCUGUUCUACUGCUAGAUGCACUGCUUUUCUGUUAGUGCUUUCCUGAUUCAUGGCAACUGCUUCCAUUUUCCAGGCCUCUGCUUACCUGUACAUAAUACUGUUUGGCAACUAGCAUGGUUCUGUUGAAGACAAACUGCUUAGGAUUAUAGAAAUACUCUUCAGGGAUGAUUAAUAGCUGCCUUUUAGCUCUGUAAUUACUUAGCUCAAAGACAGAAUUUUGGAAACUGGAUUGUCUGGUUAUAAAUAUUUUAGGUCAGACCUCUUCUCAAAUUAGUUCUUUCUUUUUGCCAAAAAAAUUAUGUUUGUAAUCCUGGACUUAUGCUCUUGCUGAGAAUUCUUAAAGAAAUAAGGCUUCUCUGUUUUCUCACUGUUACAUUACUUUUGUCAAAAAACGCUAAUCAUGUAAGAAGGGUUAAACAGUUUCUCUAGUAAUUCUUUUUCUGUUUCCAGGAUAUUUUUCCCUGCUCUGACUCUCACUGACUUGCAUAAUAGCUUUGAAUAAGGGAAUAGGCAUUUUGGCCUGGUUAUGUGUGGAUUUUUGAUCUAUGCGGCUGUUUCUCUGUGUCUGUUGUGUUAAAAUAAUUAUACUGCUAUGGCUCCCUAGAAUGGAGCCAUUUUUCACUCUGGUCUUGUUUUGUAAGAAUUAGAUUAUUAGGUAAAAUUAGGAGGUGAAAGUUCAAAACAAGCAAAAGUGAAUAGUUGUCAAACCUUUAUUUUAGGAUGUUGCAGGUUCAAGAAAUGACUUGAAAAAUUAAUGGAAAAAAAAAUCCAUUGAGAGGCAGUGAAGAGUAAGGUAGGUCCUUUAGGGUGGUUCUAAGCUGUAUAUGGUUGCAGUUUUACAUGGAUGCUCUUUUGUUCUUUUUUUUUCAGCAGCAUUUCACACUACUACUGUUAGAGAAUGGGUGCCAGACUGUAUUAUUCAGUGUAACCUUUCUUAACUUUUUAUACAAUUGCAGAAAUGCAAAAAGUUUAUUAUAGUAUAAUUUGUACUGAAUAAGUUAAAUCCACUGUAGUAUCUGAAAAAAGUUUUGAGUGCUUUUCUCUGCAGUGCAUUGUCCUGCAGAGAUUGAGUCUUAGCUAAACCUUACUUUGCUAAAAUAAUUCGAUUGGCACUUAUUUUGGAGAAAGCAAAAGAAGAGAGUAUUACAAUUUUCAGAAUAUUAAGUUACAUUAGAAUUGUAUGGCUGGUCUUUUCUGCUGUGUUUUGCAUUGAAAAGAGCUAUGUUUUUCGAGGAUUUUCAUCUGUAAGUUGGAUUUAUUUAUAUGUAUACUUAAAAGUAACUAGUGUUUCACUGAUUUCUCAGUUUCACAAAUUUAUUCCUGAAGAAUCAUCUCAUGGUCUGUAGUUCUGAAACAGUAUAGAAAAGACAUCAGGCCCCAGCAAGACCUGAGUCCUCAAAUAUAUCAUACACUUUUAUCCAGAAGUGAGCUCAUGAGAUUUUAUCCUAUUAAAGGAAAAAUGUUCUUAUAUAAACAAGCUUACUAAAGUAACUAACGUGGAGCCUUCCAUUAUUUUGUAAAUAAUGUUUGUGAUAAACAGUCAUUAUUUCUAGCAUAGGCAGUUUAUGUGAAGGUGAACUAGAAGUAUAGUGUUGAACAGUAUGGGGUGCUACUUAACCCAAAUCUUUCCCAUAACAGUUGAGAUAGUUCAAGGUUGAUUUGGAGCUGUGAAUAUAUCUUGGCCAUCUGCCCCUCACUGAAGGGAUGCUGGUUUGUACCUGCCAGAGGGAAUUGCUUACCAAAACACAAAACACUUGGCACCAAUACUCUCUAGUUUGGCACAAAGCAUUCCCUAGCCUGUGGUUUCCCUAAACACUCUCCAGAUUCCAAGUUUCUCAGAGGCACCUGCUCAAACUACUUUGGAUUUG